rnacentral:miRNA from 1 species
AUUAUAGAUUGCAUACUGCACAACUCCAGAUACCAGUCACAUAGAUCAGGGUUCAGUUGUGUCCUCAACAGUUGUACAGUGUGCACUCUGCAC